rnacentral:tRNA from 1 species
ACCCAAUAUGGUAAGGAAAGA